CAAUUCUCUCUGAAUCUGCGAACGGCUCCGCAAACCAGUUGUAAACCGAGGCGAGGAUGCCCACCCCCUGUCCGGGUAAAACCGGGCUGUGGGGUGCGGUUAUAGGGAUACCCCUGGUAAUUCUGAGGCUAAUACUCGUUUCGUACCCCCUGGACCACCCCAUUUGCAAGGUGGCUGGGGACCGUGCGAUCCGGAUAAAGGCGGUAGGAUUUUUUUAAUAAAAAAUUACCACGAAAGGGCGCACAGUCAAACCGCGGAACUCUCUUUUAAUUAAGGGGGGACGGCUUUUUGCCGGUCCUCGCGGGUCUUGCACGGUGCUUCUGACCUAUCAACUGUACGGCAGUGUCAGGGACGUGCCGUGGUUACAACGGGUACAGAGGAUUAGGGUUUGAUCCCGGAGAGUGGGCCUGAGAGAUUGCUCACACUUCUAAGGAAGGCAGCAGGCGCGUAACGUUCCCAUUGGCAAAGCCCGAGGGCGUUAGGGGACAUAUGAAUGUCCGCCGAAAUGGUGGACAAUUCAAAUGGGAC
rnacentral:rRNA from 1 species